rnacentral:lncRNA from 1 species
AGCGGGGCUGCGCUCCUCACCGCUGCCCCCGCCCCCAAUAGCGGCCGCCGGCCGGCUGCAGCCCCCUUAAGAACGCCGGAACAUCCGUCAUAGUCGCGUCACAGUCCCGCCCUCCGCCCGACCUUGGUAAUGAGCCAGCGGUCCCGCCUCCUCAUGAAUAAUGCACGACCGCGAGGGAGGGGAUGCGCGCGUACCGCCCAACGCCGCGCACUGAAGGUGGGCGCUACCAUUUAAAGGGCGCGGGGAGAGGUGACGGCCUUUAAGCGACGCCCCGAAGAUCCGCUGGCCUUUUGCUGGCCUUCGACGACGCAGCCAUCCUGAAGCGGAAAACAACCGAAAUGGAACCAUUUUAUUGUGUUCGCGGCAGCUGGUGCGACCGGCUCUUCCUUCCGCGGAGGGAGGUGUGGGGUCUGAGCCGUGCUUUCUUUCACCGCCCCGUGCCGCACCGGCCGGCAGGCGGGGCGCCCCCGCCCCUCGUUUGCAUUGACGCAGGCGUGCGGGCCGCGCCGUGGCGGCACGAGUUGGGGGGGAAUGUCGAGGUUGGGCUGGGCCCGUGGCUGUGUGCUGUGUGCAACCCAUCCCCACCGUGCCCACUGACCGCCUCCCUCAGUGCCGCACCUCUACGUUUCUUGGGCACUGACUCUGCCAUCUCCCUGGGCAGCCUGUUGCAAGGCAUCACUGCUCUUUUUGAGAAGAAACUUUUCCUUACAUACAUUCUGAACCUCCUCUACAAAACCAGUUCCCUCAGCCGCUCCUCUCAAGACCUGUACUCCAGACCCUUUGCCAGCUCUGCUGCCCUUCUUUGGACAUGUUCUAGGACCUCUUUGAGUCAUGCAGCCCAUCUUCCACGCCCUCCACUGACCCAAGGAAAGCCCAGGCUAAGGCAGGCCUGAGGAUAGGCCUGCAUGUGGAUAGCCCUUGGUGGUAUUUCCUGGACAGGCAAUGCUAAACAUGGGUUUUUACCCUUUUUUAUGGUUCUGGAAGCAUGGCUUUUAGCAACAGUGUUGAACACAAGUAAGUAGUUCAGCAGCUAUAGGUGUAAUGCAGAUCUAGAUAUCCUUGAACAAAAUAAAGGACCUCUGCUUGUUGGCUGGAAAAGCUUUAACUCAGUGGUGACAGUGGUGCACAUCUGCAGAGUGAGUGAUAGCACACUUGAGAAGUGUCAGUGUAUGCCUGGCCUAUCCUACUUCUCCAUAGGCAUCCAUUAGUGGCCCCUGUCAGAAGCUGUGUGGCUACUUUCCAUUUGCCCAAUGGAUGUUUGGCCUGAACCAGUGCUUUAAUCAUUAAAUCUAUGUGUUUAUUAAAUGUGUAUAAACUGUAAGGGAAAAAUGUUUAGUUCCACGUGUCUACAGUCUUCUUUGGUGCGAUCGUGUUCCUGUAUAUAGGAGUGAGCCUGCAUGGGUGUGUAUAUUUAGAUAUUUAUGCCACUUUGCAGGCUUGCCAUGCAAAUACAUGUGCAGCGUAGAAGACUAAUUGCUACUUUUUUCUUAUAUUUCAGUUAAUAUUUCAGAAUUGUUCAUUAUAUUGGCAUCCAUUCUGUUUCAGGAGCUCUGCAGCCAUCUUACAAGUAGCAAAAAACAGGGUACAGAUCAAGGCCCUGUUGAUGAUUGCAUGCCGAGUGAAUGCUGCCAGCCGAGUGAUGGUUGCUCACUGAAUAGCGAGUUGCUUCAUGGCACAGUCCUCAUAAACAUGGCUUCAGAGAGCUGUAGAACUGGUAGGAUCCAGCUUCCCUUUGCCUUCGUGUCACAUGCCUGAUGUUUGGUUAUGUGCAAGCCUGAACAGAAGCUGUCCCGCACCUGGGGCAUUUGCUGGCAUCUAACAAUGGUGAAGUAGUGCUGCACUGUUCUCCCCGAUGGCCAGCUGCCUGUUGCUAGCAAGUAAGGCAGGAACUUCUUUGACUGUAGUGUUUGUCCCCUUGCUUGAGUCCCAAUUCUUGCUGUUGUGGAGUUCACAAGUUCUUUUAAAUCAGUUGGAAGACAAGAGCACUCACAUCCUCUGUGACAGCUUAUCUCUGCCAUGGUAGCUAUCUGCCCCAGUUAUACACACUUAUUAAAACAACUUUCAUAGAGGAAAUCUCUUCUAUUUUUAACUGUGUAUAAACUAAGCAUCCACUCUGAAUUAGUUGCCUAAUCUGCAAACAAGAGACAGGUGCUACCAAAGUGAUUCAUCUUUUCCUAAUACAGGUACAUUUAGAGAGAGAAACCUCAUCUCUCCUUGCUGAUUUUGAGGAAAGCUCAUGUCUGUAUCCUGUCCAGGAGCUCUUUGGUGCUCAUCGGUCUUGUGGUACAAAUAGGCUUCUUGACUCUGACACAAGCAAGAAUGGCCUAACUGAGUCAAACCACUCAUCCUUCCAGCUGUGCAUCUGGUUUCUCCUGCCUCUGAGAGCUAUGAGCUCUUAGCUCCUGUUUGCUGUGGCCAUAAAUUCUAGCUUCUUCAUCAAAUCAUUUCCUUUCAAGAAGUCAUGGGCCCAGUCCUUGGAGUUUUCUUUUUCCUCUCCACUUCUCAGUUUCUCCAUUUGGCCAUGUGGCCUUCACACUCCAGUGCAUUAUUUUUUAGUUCUUCCCUGUAACCCUGCUUUCCUUUUUCUUAGCUGCCCCUUUUUGGAGACCUUUUUUGGGCUGGGCAGUAGGAAAGACUGUCUGAAAACACAUGCCUAAAUGGAUGUGUAGGAAGCUUGACAUGCUUAGCCUCUUCUUUCAGCUACCUCAACUGUUUGCAGCUUGGAGGUCUGCUAGAUUUGCCUUUCCAGAACUUAGGUGAUAGUGGGAUGCUUGGGCUCUUCAUUCUGAUUUCAGAGCAGAACUCCUGUCCUGGAUGAGCUGAGGGAGCUAGAAGGAGUAAUGCAACUCCAGUAAGUGGCUGAGAGGAUACAGCAAACACCAGGAGGGGUGGGUAUCUGGCCAUGUGCAAUAUUACUGCAUGUAACACGUGCAUUGAACAAUGUGGCAAAACAAACUGUCGAACAGGUAAAACCAUAUAUACCUAAGUUAUGAUUCUGGCAGCCAUUAAUCAUCCUGCUUCUGUCUAUUCACUGUAACAAACAUGCCAGAUGUCCACUUCAUUUGGGAGGCCUGUGCGGAACUGAGGCUAACAGCUCUCCAGGGUUUGUCAGCGCAGUAAAGACAGUGGCCAUCUGAGUUCAUCUUGCUGUGUUCUGCAUCAUCCACUGUGCAUGAAAUUCUGCGUGCCAAGAUAAACAAGCAAUGCUAGAGAAGAGAAAGCAUAAAGACAAAUCACAAUGAGCUUUAUUAAGACAAAUCUGGUAAGCUGUAAGGAUUCCAAAGCACCUCUUCUGGCUGGAACUUAGGUGGCACGAAAGCACUCAUCUAGGCAGUACUUCUGAAUUGUACCCCUGAGUGGUUAUUGCCUCCUCUGGAAAUUGCUGUGCACAGCUUAAGUUCUUUCCUUUUCAUAAGACCAGGAGAAUAACACCUGCUAUUGGCCAGUGUUAGAGAGAUGGUACUAUUGUGUGAGACAGAAUUUUGGACCAUCAUUCUGUUUUUCUGCUUGAACAAAAAAAAACCUCUAAACUUUUAGUAGUUAUAAAAGCUGGAAGGGAUUGUGCUGAAAUGCUCUCUUCCUUGGAGUAGUCUGUGGGUUUAACUUCUUUAAAAAUGCAGGUUCUUGGUGUAGAAUCCGUACCUUUUUCUAAUCCGAUACCACGAAGGAUGUGUUAUAAUUGUGGGGAAUUUGUGAUCAGUCAUGAAAUGGAUAACAAUCAAACUAUGAUACGUAGACUUUUAUGUCUUUGCAGAGCUACUUCAGUGCUUCCUCAUUUUGUAAAUUACCACGAACACCAGAAUACUGGGAACCUAGCACAUAAAAAAGGAAAUAACUGUGCUUCCAGAAUCUGUUGUUCCCCUCCCAAUAGUUUUUUUGGAAGGUCCCAGUGGCUGUGAUUUUGAGUAUGGGCUGCAAAUAACAUGCUAAGCUAAAAAUUAUCUUUGCUUUCAUUCCAAUGCAAAAAGCUGCUUCUCUGGCUUCUUUUCUUUUCUUUUCUUUUCUUUUCUUUUCUUUUCUUUUCUUUUCUUUUCUUUUCUUUUCUUUUCUUUUCUUUUCUUUUCUUUUCUUUUCUUUUCUUUUCUUUUCUUUUCUUUUCUUUUCUUUUCUUUUCUUUUCUUUUCUUCUCUUCUCUUCUCUUCUCUUCUCUUCUCUUCUCUUCUCUUCUCUUCUCUUCUCUUCUCUUCUCUUCUCUUCUCUUUUCUUUUCUUUUUUUCCUUAUUGCAUGUUACAGUUAAAAGUAAGCAUAGCUACAGGUAGUUAGGACUAACUUCAAAAAGCCUUUUUGUUGUGGAGUGGCUCGGCACAGUGAGUAUCUGUGGCUGCUUGUAAUGCAACAAACUCUUCUUUCCAGAGCCCACAACAUUUAUAGGUCUUUCACCACUUACAGUGAUUUACUGCUCCAUUUGACCCAUCUUCCAAGGCUCUGCAGCUACAAGAAAACAUUUUUUUUCUCUUGGCAAUUUUACCUUCUCUCUUUUCCCAUCUUCUCUCUGGUUUGUUCCUGGGCACCUUUUACCAAGCUCUGUAUUUCGGUGGCUCUGCCUGUCCUGCCCUGUUCUCAGGGGCUCUGCUGGCAGGUCUGUCUCAAUGUCACCUGUAGUUGGGCUGUUGGGAGAAGCACUGUCUCCUGUCUGUGGUCUGUGGCAUGUGUCUGCUUCAUACAUCAGCCUAAGCUUUGAAAUGAGCCUGCAUAUGCAUUCCAGGAACAGCACAUUGUUCUAACUGGUAACAAAAAUACAUGACUAACGUGCUUCUGAUAGAGCCGCUUCCUCUUAACCUUAAAGUUGAUUUUUUGUUAAUGACUUCUUCCUCCCAUGGAAACGUGGAAAACAGUCUGGGACUGCAGGUUGUUAUUCAGUAAGAAAAACACAUGAUGAAGUUUGACAUUUCACAGGAAAAAGAUGUCUAAAGAUUUAUAUCAAUGGGUUUUAUUUACUGUUUUUCUGUUCUUGAUUUUUUUAAACCCCGAAAACAAAACUCAUGCAUUGCUAUAAAGGAGGUGGGCAAGUCUUUUUCAGCAGUGAGCAGUCUGUUGAGUCACAGUAACGUACGUUCUUUCCCCAUGCUUUUUUUCUUUAAAAGAAAGAAAUUGUUAAUCAUCUACAUGUAAAAAAUAUGGAAAAUAAACCAUUGUUUGAUCACCGUAUGUCAGAAUAAAAUUAAAAGCAGAGAGAAAACAUAACAUGAGGGCUUGACAUGGUUCGCUUUGUUCUGUUGUUCCCGUGCCCACGUGCCCAUGUUGUGUUCAUUUUUUAAAGCUAAAAAAUCAUAAAAUUCAUAGGAGAUGGGCAGCGUUUGUUCCUUAUUCAAAGUCCUUCUUCCACCACAAGGCCUCCACUGCCUGCUAAACUUGCAGGAUAUGGAUUCUGGUCACAGGAAUGCAAACCAGUGAUUUACUCUGCUUUUUCUUCUUUUUGCCUGGGGUUUAACCAGUACAUUAGACUAAUAUUUUCUUGCUUGCUAGUGGCAGUUUCUGUUUCUUUUUUUCUUUCUUUCUUUUUUUUUUUUUUUUUUGGUAGUGGAAGUCAUUAGAGUUUCUCCCAAGAGAAUCACUGCCAAAGUAAACAAACAUCUUCAUGAAAGGAAAAUAAUGUCUGAGGAGCAUUCAGAAUUCCAUGUUUUACAGAAGAGUAUUUAUGGCAACCAACUAGUGAAUUAAAGUGAAAGAAAUCCCAUUACUAGUUUGCUGCUUCUGCUGUGCUAAUCGAAAGUGGCAAUUUCUGCUCGCUUCUCUGCGCUACAGUGCAGGGUCUCAGUAUAAGCUGUAAUUUAAAAUGAAGGAAAUUAUGAGAUGAAACUCUUUUUAGAAGCAGUGUUAUGUUGGGUUUGCUUUUAUUUUUCUUAAUUGUUGGUAAUUGUAUAGAGCUUCUGCAUGUAAAACUCAGGGGAACUGCUAUUGUCUCCAAAAUGUUCUGCGUGUGGUUGGCAAGAACAACAAGCACAGAAGAAAGUUCAGCUAAAAAAUUCAUAAAAGCUGCCUGGUGGAAUGCAUUGCAAUCAGCUGUACACCUUGGUGCUCUUAUCCCUCUGAACUGAUCAUUUUUAGCUGAGAUGAAACAUUCUGAGGAGCAGGAGCCUGGCAGAUUUGCGGCGUAGAUUGUUUGAAGGUUUAAACACUGUGACUAUCUCAUCUUACUGCAAGUCUGUAGAUAGAACAUAAGCUCAAGUUGCUGAAAAGUGAUAGAAUGGCUCUGUGUGCACAGCCUACAAAACUGUGAAGGGCUUAUUUUCUGUGUGCUUUCUGCGUUCCCUCCAGGAGAGCAGUAAUUCCCCAGUGGAGCAAGCACACUUUGCAUUUGUUGAGGAUGAGACUGUCUCUAGUCCUUUGUUUGGGCAGCGGCUUUCACAAAGGGGACCAGUACUCACUGGGAACUUGCCAGCACCAUCAUAUGUUUCAUGACAAAUGCUAAGUGUUCAGAAAGUUGGCACUACAAAAUAGAGAUACUGUCAAUCUCUGUUUAAUUCUCAAAAUGGCUUGUAGGAUUUUAAAGCUUGUGUUGUUGCUGGUGCACUCACCCAUCAGAUAGCAUUUUUAACAGCCCUUCUAAUAUGGCCGGUUAAUUUGGUUAUAUUACUAGGAUGUAAAACAAAAUGAUUCCUAGGAUAGAGAUUGCUAGAUUGCUAAGAUUUUACUGCCGUUUUUUUCCUAUCUGCUGCGUGCUGAAGAACAGUGUGUCCAGCCACAUGUAUUGCUGUAGUCAGACCAUGGUAUUUUCUCAUCUUCUUUCCCAUGUACAGCUCAGACACAGCUGCCGCUAUUUACCAAACACAAAGGUGUUUUUCACAGCUCAGAGGGUAUGUUUGGGUUCUGCUGUAAGGAACGCGUGAUACAUCUCUAUUAAUUGCAUGAAUGUUCAGUGUAUGUUUAUGUACCUGGAUACUGUGGUGUUCUCUUUGGAAUUUUAGGGAGCGAGCUCAUAGAUCUUUGGAUACGUCUCCAGAGACAUGAUGAUUCCAGCGUCAGAAUAAUCUGCUCCAUAACGUGACCACAUUUAGGAGACCAGCUCCUGGGAGGAGACCCAAGGAGACAUCUUGAAAUUUCUGAGCAGAGAGGCUUUGGCACAGAGUUGGUGUACGCCGGAUGGCAUCCAGUUGGUAGCCUGCAUUGCUGGUGCAGCAGGAGGAAGCAAGCCUCUGACAAGAGCUAGAUAUGUCACCCUGCAGGACUGCACGGACAGCUUAAAUGGAGUGUAUGUUUGCACCUAAGCAGACUGUUAAGUAACAGAAGUGAGGUCAACAGCUCCAAGAGUGACUAUCGCAAUAUCCAGCAGCCAUAGCACUGACAUUGAGACUGGCUGGGCCAUGAGGUCAUGCUUCUGGGAGGAUGAAGAGGAAGGCCUGGAUGCACUGAGGAAGAGAGUUGAACUCAACUUUGCUAUACAGCAGAUGAAUAUUCACCCUGGUGUAUAUAUAUAUAUAAAUCUAUUUAUUUAAAAGCAAGUCUGAUGAAAGGAUGCGUUUUUCAUUGCUAUUUGUUGUAUGUAAGAGAAAUUGGCAUCUGCACAUGUGUCUAACAACUCAGAAGUGUGGUCUAUAUGCAAGCAUAAGUGAAGUGCAAUAUAACAAAUGUAAUGAAAAGCAAGAUGAGAGAUCAGUUGGGUGCACGGCUGGAUGAAGAGUGAGUAGAGAACACCGGACAGAUGUUUGCAAAGAGGUCUCAACAAGGAGUCCAAGAUCCUUCCUGGAGUGAUUAUUUAUAAUUUAUCACAGUGUUUGUGCAAUUAGGGUGUUUUUCCCCCCACGUGUAUUCCUGUGUGUCUAUCGAUAAUAAAUGAUGCGUGGUUUUAUGUUGCUGAAUCACUCAGCAUUCAGUAUGACGAUGCCUUUUGAAGUAUUGACUGUUCUAAGCGAUUUCCAUCAUCAGCAAACUUAGCUGCCUCGUUAUUAAUCCCCUCUUCCAGAUCGUUUGUGAAUGUAGUGAAGAGAACAAGUUCAAGUGCAGAUCCCUGAUCUCUUCUCUCCCAUGGUGAAAACAAUUUAUUACUACGCUUCAACAAAUCAUUAAUCUACUAAAGAAUUUCCAUCCUUAUGAUAACUCAGUUUCUUUAAGAGCUUUUAGAGAGAGAGAUGUUGUCAAAACACUUUGACUUCUGGAAAUCCAAGAGCAUUACAGCAAUCCGCAUUCACCACCAUGCUGACUGCUUUCAGGAACUGUACCAUCGUCCAUUUCAUCAGCCCACAGCAGGCUGUAAACCCUACAUUUGGUCAGGUUUCUUCUUCCGCAGAUGUGACGUUAUUUGUGUACUAAAAAUAGUGGCGAGCGCUUUCAUUACUUGUACAAAGGCUUCUAGCAGUUAGUGACAGUUUCUAAGUGAACUUAUUGCUAUGCUGCCAGAAACUCCAGAGCGAGGUACAGAUUUCCAUUGACCCCGAAUGCAGCAUGGUUUCUUUGUGAUAGAAGUCUUCUAUUUAUUUUCCAUAAAUGACAUAUCCCUGAAGCAACGGUGAGGGAAUGAAAGUUGCAUUUUAUCACUGUAACAUUUGCAGAAAAGUGAACUGCUAAACUCCCUAUUCAUAAUGAAACUUCGACUGGCCGCGAGUUCUUAAAAAGCUUACCUGCAGGUGCACAGCUUUUUUUUUUUCCCCCUUAAAAAUUUAUAUCUGAGCCUUAUGAACUUCUGAUUAAACUUUUAAAAUAAAUUAAGGGUGAGAGGAUUAGACAGGGAAUUGGAAAUGAACUGUGGUAUCUUUUGCCUCUAGCUCAGCAUUUUGAAGGCAGCCCAAAUGAGAUGUGACAAAGUGCAGUGCUCUCGUUUCUUUCUGCUGACCUACGUGCAAGUGGAGUUUGGUCUCUGCCAAGUUCUUUGUGUGAACAGCCACGUCACCGUCACUGCUAGUCUAAUUAGCAGUAAUUAGACCUUUGUUGGAAUUUAAAAUAAAUAGGCCAUGAUUUGGAUAUCACAGUGACUAAAUUAUCCACUUAGAUGAUCCCCUCUGUGGGUGAACAGCCUGCUGCUCCCAGCCCUCCCUUUUCCACAGAGUGACAGCAGUUACAAAGAUCUGAUUUAAAUGACGAAUACGCCCAGCUUGUGUUUUGCAGAAUGCCGUGUCCUGUUUGAAAUAGAAACUGUAAAAUCCUGCAGGACAGUCCCUGAGUGAGACUAAUAAAGCCACGUUUUAAUCCGUUAAGGGCUGUAGUAGCUAUUAUUUCCUUCCUGCCCUCGAUGGAGGUGUGAAGACUUUCAGAGGAAGCACCCACCAGCAGAUGUUCAGAGGUUCCUACUGCUUCAGCCCCUAUCUGAACUUCCUAUUGCUCCUUCUCAGGAGAAAUUAUUUCAUUAGCCUGGGUCAGCCCUUUCUGAACAUGUCUGUUUCUUACCUUAUUUCUGCUGCCUGUCAUGCUGUCCCGCUGCCAGAGAGUAUUUUCAGACCCGUAGGUCUGACUCCCUAGGCGUUUCUCCUGGACUUUGUACACCACUGGCUGUCCUAGGAGAGGAAAGGAAAGUGUGCAUUUCCAGUGGAGCACUGCAUGCAGCUUUUUUUCUGCACAUGUGCCCUCUAUGGAUUCUUGUUGGAUUUCCUGACCCUUUUCUGUUUGAUUGACUCUGAAAGCCCAGCUGAUUCUUCUGUUCUCCCCAAAGCACCUAUGGGAACUUCUGUAACUUGGUUGCCUCUAUCCGAAGUUUUUCUUUGCUUCUUUGAGAAAAGAGAAAGUCGUAGCACCUGAAAGUGUGCCAGUUUCCCAAUCACACUGGUUGCCAGUGAUUGGCUGGGUCAAUAGAGACUGGGGUGGGAAAGCCUGGUCCUGCUGCAGGUCAGAGCAGGGCACACUAGACUUCUGAUCAGAGUGUGGUGGCAUAGGAAUCCGUCAGUGCUCUUCUGGGGUGGUGGUCAUUGUCCUGACAGCCUCUGCAUUAUGAUAAUGGGAAAAAAAAAAGUUAAUGUUUGUUUCACUGAUGUAUUUCAGAAUGAAUUACUCUUGGCAUUAGAGAGUAAGAGCCGACUGCAUGCAAUGGACAACUGCACUGCUUUAAAAAUCCUGUGCAUUAUGCCAGCAGUGUAGGGGUCUCCAAUCUUCAAACACAGACACAUGGUUUCAGAGAACACAAACACUACGUGUUGAUCUGGAAGUAAAGAGAAGCAGUGUGAAUCUGCUUUUCCCAUAUUUUCAGCCAAUUGCUGGCUAUUUAAAAUCUUUAAUCUAAACAGAUAUUUGGAUUUAGUUUCUGAAGAGCAAAAGCUUGUCAGCUAUUUCAGUGAGGGCAACAACUUAAACUGUCAAUAUAUCAUUCCUGAAACAAGCAUAAUUUCAGCAAUCAAGUAGGAGAUAUUUCUUGUAGGUCCACAAUUCCUUGUAGAGAGAGUUCAUAUCAUAAUGAUGUGCUCUGUGGAGGUGACUCAUUUGCACAUUUUGGAGUUCAGACAAAGUCUCUGUGUUAGCUCUCUUUCCUCUCCUACCUUCCACGUGUUCUCCUGGAUUCAUAACAGAAUGAUUCUUUCUGUUACAUAAGACUGAAAUGGCUUCUCAUUUUCACUUUCUUUAUGCAUAAAGAGGCUUAUAAAUGUAUUGAGUUAUGGCUGAGGAAACUAGAAUACAUGCUACCUGAAAACCAUCAUAAAUUGUUCCAAAAUGAUCUUGAUUAAUUAAAAAAAAAUUGGUUUUGCUUUGUGCUAGUCCGACUAUUUUGACAGCUACUUGUGCUGUAGUGCACAAGUGGGGAUAUAAUCGCACAGGGCUGAAGAUGUCUAGUAAUGAAGUAGUGACACCCAGUUCUGUAUAUGCCAGCAUGGCUACGUGAAUGCAAUACACAAAGCCAGAUGUACCAUUUUAACUGCACAAGGAUAUAUUCAAGUAUGUUUAAAAUGGGCAGCGUGACAUUUAUGUGUAUGUGUGUAGGUCUCACUGAAAGUAGUGCCUCCUAUUUAUUUCCAUGGAAACAACAACAGAUACAAAGAGCUCAAUAACACUAUUUGAUAGAGCAAGCCCUCAGCAACAGAACACUGUUUUUCAACAUAGUCACCACCAUUAGCUGUGCAUUUUCACCAGGGAUGAAUAAGAGCCUGUGUGCCACACUCAUGAAAAUCUGUACCAGCAGAGAUGACCCACUGUUGCACAGCUGCUAUGAUGGCAUUGUUGCUAGGAAAAUGUUGCCCAUGCAGUCCGUCUUUCAUUGGCCCGGACAGAUGGAAGUCAGAAAGUACCAAACCCAGAUAGUAGGGGGGUGUGAUAGGACAGUCCAGCCAAGAUACAGUCCUGUACAGUACAGUACAGUAAGACCUUUGGUGACUGAAAUUGGAUCGUUUGCAUUUUAAGAGGUGGCUUAGAAUCCAUAAUUUCCAUUUGAAAUAUUUUCAGGUGUGCUUUUACCAUUAUCCUUACAAUUCCAUCUAUGUGCUUGUUUCAAGAAAAUUACAUGAUUUGUUGGUUUGAGACAAUUUUAACUUCAUAAUUAAUCUGUUUAACUUUUCUCCAGCUGUCACAGAUUUGCUGACCAGUAAAGAAGUCCUUCUAGAAAGCCGAAACACCUUGUUAUGAAACAGGCUGAUUUGGGUUGGAUUUUGAACAAAGCUGUGCUCUCUGCAUUAGUUUUAUUAAGUGAGAUAAAAGAAUUCUUACAGUAGUGUUAAAUUAAUACCUCAUUUCUGGAUGACAAUCAUGCUUAUGGCAAGACCAUUCCCAUCACUUGUGGUGCUUGAAAGCACUGUGAAAACUCCAAGAAACCAAGAUCUGGCUAUACAUCAUCAGGUAAUACCUCCAUGUUAAUGUGUGGAAGAAGAAAUGAGUUCACCUCUUUCGGAGUUAAGAAAGAUUAUGGUCAUAUCAAGAUUUAUGCUAGCUUCAUUUUAGAUGAUACUGAAGAUGAGUAUUUUUUGCAAUACAAGUUUGAAUGUAAGUGUUAGCAUAUUUUCACACUUUUUAGUUAUGAAACAGAAACUACUGAAUAUCAUGAGAAAUAAGAACCUCCUUCUCAGGGUACCGUGAGUUUCUUACCUAUUGCCACACCCUGCCUGCAAUAAACAGAUCUCUUAAUUGCAGCUAAACUGGAUUUCCUUAAAUAAACCCAACCAAAUUCUGUUUAUCAGCAAUGUUUCUACUUCAAUCAAACUCCUGAGGUGGAAAUUUCUCAAUACUCAGUCCUUGGGAGGAGCAGCUUCUAGGGAAAAGGUGGGAAUAAAAAUACUUCCACAAUUAUGUUCAGCACUGUUUGUCAUCAUCUCUUCUUAGUGUCCCGAGCAGAAGCACCAGUAGUCUUUUUGAGUAAAACAGACCCUUAGACUGAUUCUUCACCUCUCAGUAGUUACUUCUGGUAUAGCAGAACUGGAUUAUGACUGACAAGGUGGAGGUAGGAAGCUUUGCUGGGAUUUUGGCUUCCUUAAAUUUAGUUUUCCAGUACGCUGUCAAAAAGGUUUCCUGGGUUGCUUUGUACCAUUAUCUUCGUGCGGCAUUUAUGUGUAUAAUUCAGUAUUUACUUUAACUUUUAUUCCACAGCAAUUGCAUUCCUUUUUGUAACUAUUUUGUGAAUGAAGCAAGCCUAAGAAAUGUUCCUAUUUAUAGGUGGUGAUAGGCUUCACAGCCCUUUUGAUAAGUAAAGAACCAAACUGUUAAACUGACCAGUCUGGGUCAGUAUAAGGGAACACGUCAUUUUUAGUCCUACUUAUUUUUUGGAUAAAAACCUUUUUCAAGGGAAAAAUGUCAACAUAUAUCUGAAAUUAAGCCCUUCACAAUCCCUGCUCUGCCAUGUAAUUCAUAAAUUAAUGGAUCUAGAAAAGACCUUAAAAGGGUGUUAUCCGUCAGAAAUAAUACUUCUGUGUGUGCAGUGCCUAUCUCUCAUAAAAACUUGUGUUGGCCCUAUGUUGAAUUAGCCUGUCUGUGAGUGUCAAAUCCUUUUGGGAAAGGAUGAAAGAACCAUAAAAUAAGUUUAUGUUGCUCAGUGCCCAAAUGUUAUAAGUGGCUAACACAGUAAGAGAAAAGCAGUAAAUUUGAUCUUUUGCAACAUGUAUAUUUAACAGUUGUAAAAAUUACUUCUGAGUUUGUUGGUAUUACACUUUUGUUUUAGGUGCUGCCUGCCAUAUAUCUGAAUUACUUAGACCUCUGAGUAAAGCUAAUCUUUCUUCUUAGAUCCAAGCCUAUAACUUUUAAGGUGACAAGAAAUCCCCCACAGAAAUCACAGAAAAACAGAAUAAAGCAAAUGCUUGCUAUUCAAAAGAGGUUUGCCAUCACGGUAUCUGAAAAUAUUAUUAUAAAGGUAAUAAGCAAAGCAUGACUACUCAUCUGUCUUAUUUUGGUUUUUAUCCAUUUUACGGAAAAAGAAAUGUGCAUAUUAGAAUAUUAUGUUUGUUUUGAUGAAAUUUUAUCCAGUAACAUAUGUUGUGCUAUGCAAAUGUAUCUAUAAAUGAAGAAAUAUGCUUUGCAUUUGGAAUAAAAGGGUGUCAAGCACUUUCUAAUUUUUAUGAGGUCCUCGGGAAAGCCCUAAAUCUUUUCUCCCCACAGUGAGUUGUAAUCUUACUGUGUAGCAUUCAUUGUGUAAUUGUUGACCAUGGUCUUUUCUCUGGCAAUUUACUGAUCUUAGUCCCAGGACAUGAAAUGCCUUGCAGAGCAAGACUUAGCACAUUCAUCGUUCUGUGGGAAGAUGCUGGAGAAAUUGUAAAGCCAGUGGGUUGCAUUUGCGAUAGCUUCUGUUGUGGAGGAGGGGAUCUGCUGUCUCUGUGGCAAACUGGAACCACCACAGUGCUACAGAUCUGUAUCUCAGGAUGUGUCAUCCAGCCAAGGCCAAUGGAAGAGGCUCGAGUAACUGAGGUAUGCUGGCCUGGCAAGGUGUCUUGGGUCCAGCUGGCAUCAAGAGAGAGCACUGUGCAUGAAUGUUGCCUUGUGAGUGUUUUAUAGCCUUGAGGAAUCCAGGGGUAUUCCUGGAGUGUGGACUGAGUUGGUAAACAAGAGUCUUAUCUGGGUGAAGGGAUCUGCACGCUCGAUGCUAAACUCAAUGCUUUUCCCACUGACACUGCUAUUGGCUUUUUUUGACUGUUUAUCCUUAAUCUAAUGUAGAGAUUGCACAAACUGGAAAAAAAAAAUAGUGUGCUCUGUUUUAAUAGGACAGAAAUUUGAAUUCUAAACGAAGGCUUUGAAAACAUGAACUUGUGACACUGAACCGAUUCUGUAUGGCCUUUGUGUCCUCGCUGAGUUAUUUGCAGAAUUAGUUUUGGACAAUCUUUUUUCUUCCUUUUGGGCAGCACAUAUACAGCACUAUGGGGCUGCAAUAUUUCUAUCCUCUUAUCCUUGUGCAAAUAGGGUCAAAAUCAGGGAAGGGAACCCAGUUGGCACUGAUUUCAUUAUGCUGGCACAGCCCUCGUUCCCUGCCCAUCUCAAGUACAUCUGAUGUGAAUUGGCACCUCGGCUAAACUCUAGGCAGCGCUGUGUGUGUCAGGAUACUUUGGACCUCAUUGCUGGUUAAGGUGUUACUGCCUACUACUACC